GAUGAAGAACGCAGCGAAAUGCGAUACGUAAUGUGAAUUGCAGAAUUCAGUGAAUCAUCGAGUCUUUGAACGCACAUUGGGCCCCCUGGUAUUCCGGGGGGCAUGCCUGUCCGAGCGUCAUUGCUGCCCUCAAGCACGGCUUGUGUGUUGGGCCUCCGUCCUCCUCCCGGGGGACGGGCCCGAAAGGCAGCGGCGGCACCGCGUCCGGUCCUCGAGCGUAUGGGGCUUCGUCACCCGCUCUUGUAGGCCCGGCCGGCGCUUGCCGACACAUCAAUCUUUUUUCCAGGUUGACCUCGGAUCAGGUAGGGAUACCCGCUGAACUUAAGCAUAUCAAUAAGCGGAGGA
rnacentral:misc_RNA from 1 species